AAAAUAUAUUACUUAAUCUAUUUUAUUGCGUCUUUUUUCAGAAACGUGGAUAGAGUCUAUCAUUUAUCUAAAAAUUGGGAUCCGGUCGUGGCGUGGGCACGGUCACGUUCAAUGUUGCCAUUUUUCUCCAAAUAAAAAAACUGAUACCCAAACCCAAAAUUUCAAGAAUCCAAGUAGCCCAAAGAAAGAAAAAAAAAAGAAGCCCAAACAACCCAAGCCCAAAAAGAAAAAUGAUGAAAAACAAAGAAAACAAAAAAAACACAAAUAAAGAACCCCACGUUUAGAACCCCCAUCUUUUUUCUUUUCUUUUUUUUCCCUUUUCUUCUUCUUCACCCAUCUUCCCCAAACAAAACCCUAACACUAUUAGAUCAUCAAGCUGCCGCCGUGUCGCAAGCUACCGCCGACCCCUUUCGUCAUCCUACGUUAUCGUUGAUGACCAAGUAGCUGACGGUCAAACCCCUUCCAUCGUAUGUCACACGUCGCCAUUACCAUAUCCACCAAUUUUCCAUCAAAAUUCCAUCAUUUGCAAGCCAAAACCAUCGUCUUUCCACCUUUAUUCACACCUCUCACCACCGAGCUUGCUCAAGUAACCACCAUCUCCACUUGAACAAACCAAAACCUCCUCUUUCUUCACCAAAACACCACUGCUCAUCCCAUCUUCUUCACUCUCUCAUCCCUUCACCGUGCACCACCACUGAUCGAGUUCCUCCAUUGCCAAACCUUCACCUUAACAACCACCACCUUCUAAAAACCUAACUGCCACCUAUACAAUAACAAACCUCACCAUUUUUCCCCAUUAUCGCCGCCCUUCAAAAACCCCUCCCAACCUUAAAAGAAACGAUUAAAACACUCUACACAAAUUGCCCCAACGUCUUUUCAACUGUCCAUUACCAUUCGUCGUCACUACACAAUCGUUGUCGAUUGAUUUUUGAGCCCGAAAAUAGACCAUGGUUCACACUAGAAACCAAUUGGCUGACAGAUUCCCUGUUCCACUUAACAAAAGUCAAAACUAAUUUUCAACACCACCAGUCAUCGACCUUAAUGGGGAAGAUCCAAAACCACUAUCGAUACAUAUUGCUGGACUGAGUCGACUCCAACUUCGAGGAAGCCCGAUAUCGGUUGAAAUAAAAAGUCCACAAGUUUGUUCUGGCACUUCUAACGACAUAAGGUAUAAUGUUCCAAAUUUUCAACUUGUUUUACCCUUACUAACGUUUCCUACAAGUCGUAUAGACAGAGUUAACACUUCAGGUCAUAAUGACGCUGAGCCGCUGAACCUAUACAAUGCCGCCAGAACAGAGACUUCGAGGGUCUCUAAAUUUCACGAUAUCGAAACACUGUGCAAGAUACAAGAAAAUUCAACAUCAGCCAAUCCCAAUCUGUACACGAACCACUCGAAGCAAUAAAGUUUUUCGGUGAACAUGCGAUCCACCUACUAGAGAACAAAAGGAACAACCACUUCCCUUUAUGGAAGAACGACUUAAUCACAUUGAGACUAGGCUAGCAACAAUGGAGGCCAACAUCUCAAGCAUCCUCACCGUACUAAAAAGCAAUUACUUCCACUAUACUCCGGCCCAUUAAAUAUACACGGGGAGUACACAUUACCCUCAACUUUUGUUUUUUUCUCUUUUUUACACAUUGAGGGCAAUGUGUGCUAAGUGGGAAGGGACAUGCCAUGCUAUUUAUUCUUUGCAUGUGUUCAUUCACUAAGAUAGCUCCUCAAUUUGUUUCGAAAAUGAACCUCUAAUUCUUAUGCUAAGUUUAUUUAAAUAAUUGGGUGAGUUAUGAAUAACUAUUACUUACUUGAUCAAUAAAUAUUUUGUAGAUUUAAAAA